CACGGAGUUAGCCGGUGCUUAUUCGUUAGAUACCGUCAUUAUCUUCUCUAACAAAAGGAGUUUACAAUCCGAAAACCUUCAUCCUCCACGCGGCGUUGCUGCUUCAGGGUUUCCCCCAUUGAGCAAUAUUCCCUACUGCUGCCUCCCGUAGGAGUCUGGACCGUGUCUCAGUUCCAGCGUGUCCGUUCACCCUCUCAGGCCGGAUACCCGUCAUAGCCUUGGUGAGCCAUUACCUCACCAACAAGCUGAUAGGACAUAGACCAAUCCUUUAGCGAAAAACUUUCCCUCGUAAGGAGUAUCCAGUAUUAAUCAUCGUUUCCAAUGGCUAUCCUAGACUAAAGGGCAUGUUAUCUAUGCAUUACUCACCCGUGCGCCACUAAUCCACUCUAGCAAGCUAGAGCUUCAUCGUUCGACUUGCAUGUAUUAGGCACGCCGCCAGCGUUCACUCUGAGCCAGGAUCAAACUC
rnacentral:rRNA from 1 species